UACGUAGGGGGCAAGCGUUGUCCGGAUUUAUUGGGCGUAAAGAGCGUGUAGGCGGCCAAACAGGUCCACUGUGAAAACUCGAGGCUCAACCUCGAGAGGUCGGUGGAAACCGUCUGGCUAGAGUCCGGAAGAGGAGAGUGGAAUUCCCGGUGUAGCGGUGGAAAUGCGCAGAUAUCGGGAAGAACACCCGUGGCGAAGGCGGCUCUCUGGGACGGUACUGACGCUGAGA
rnacentral:rRNA from 1 species